UGGCGGCCAUAGCGCGGUGGUCCCACCUGAUCCCAUGCCGAACUCAGAAGUGAAACGCCGUAGCGCCGAUGGUAGUGUGGGGGCUCCCCAUGCGAGAGUAGGACACUGCCAGGCA
rnacentral:rRNA from 2 species